rnacentral:rRNA from 1 species
GACGAACGCUGGCGGCGUGCCUAACACAUGCAAGUCGAGCGGGGUUGAGGCGAGAGGUAACUCGAGCUUCUACCUAGCGGCGGACGGGUGAGUAACGCGUGGGCAACCUGCCUCAAGGUUUGGGAUAACAGCCCGAAAGGGCUGCUAAUACCGGAUAUGCCUAUGGCCUCGCAUGGGGCUAUGAGCAAAGGGGAAACCCGCCUUGAGAUGGGCCCGCGUCCCAUCAGCUAGUUGGUGAGGUAACAGCUCACCAAGGCGACGACGGGUAGCCGGCCUGAGAGGGUGACCGGCCACACUGGGACUGAGACACGGCCCAGACUCCUACGGGGGGCAGCAGUGGGGGAUCUUGCACAAUGGGCGAAAGCCUGAUGCAGCGACGCCGCGUGAGCGAAGAAGGCCUUCGGGUUGUAAACUCCUUUUGUCAGGGACAAUGGUGAUGGUACCUGACGAAUAAGCCACGGCUAACUCUGUGCCAGCAGCCGCGGUAAGACGUAGCGUCG